GACGAACGCUGGCGGCGUGCCUAACACAUGCAAGUCGAACGAGAUCCAGUGCGGAGUAAUCCAAACGAAGAUCUAGUGGCGAACGGGUGCAUAACACGUGAGCAAUCUGCCCUGAAGACGGGGAUAACAGGGGGAAACCCCUGCUAAUACCCGAUACCUCUACCGAGUCGCAUGGCUUGGUAAAGAAAUGGAUUCCGCUUCAGGAGGAGCUCGCGGCCUAUCAGCUUGUUGGUGAGGUAACGGCUCACCAAGGCUUCGACGGGUAGCUGGUCUGAGAGGACGAUCAGCCACACUGGGACUGAGACACGGCCCAGACUCCUACGGGAGGCAGCAGUGGGGAAUAUUGCGCAAUGGGCGAAAGCCUGACGCAGCAACGCCGCGUGGAGGACGACUGUCUUCGGAUUGUAAACUCCUUUCAGCAGGAACGAUAAUGACGGUACCUGCAGAAGAAGCACCGGCCAACUACGUG
rnacentral:rRNA from 1 species